AUGAACGCUGGCGGCGUGCUUAAUACAUGCAAGUCGAACGGAGACUUUGUAGCAAUACGGAGUCUUAGUGGCGAACGGGUGCGUAACGCGUUGGUGAUCUGCCCCGAAGUGUGGGAUAACAGUUCGAAAGGACUGCUAAUACCGCAUGUGGUCAUGGAGGUUAGAGGCUUCAUGACUAAAGCAGUAAUGCGCUUCGGGAGGAACCUGCGUCCCAUCAGCUAGUUGGUAGGGUAACGGCCUACCAAGGCUUCGACGGGUAGGGGACCUGAGAGGGUGGUCCCCCACAUUGGCACUGAAACACGGGCCAAACACCUACGGGUGGCAGCAGUAGGGAAUAUUGGGCAAUGGGCGAAAGCCUGACCCAGCAACGCCGCGUGUGCGAUGAAGGCCUUCGGGUCGUAAAGCACUUUUCUGGGAGAUGAGAAAGGACAGUAUCUCAGGAAUAAGUCUCGGCUAACUACGU
rnacentral:rRNA from 1 species